rfam:Asian citrus Psyllid, Diaphorina citri - Florida Strain, whole genome shotgun sequence.
GCCUAGUUAGCUUAGUUGGUAGUGCGUCUGCGUUGUAAGCACUAGGCCGCGGAUUCGAUUCCCGCCCGGGGCG